CCUCCAUUGUGAACUUUAUGUGAUAAUACAGCUCUUUCCCCUUUUCUUUUUAUCAUAUGAUGUUUGCUUCAUGCCCUGGGAAGAAGGUGCCAGAGGAAUGUUCUGAAGAACUUCAUGCAAGGCUGUGAUAGAAAGCCCAGCCCUUUGACGGACCAUGUUUCCCAUUGGAAGCUGCUGUGAAAGUUGUGAUGCAGAUAGUAAAGUGGAGCUGGGAAUCCAAUGAUGCUGCCAUGGCAACCAUGAGGGGGUUCCACCAGCCGCUGCACCAGCUGUCCUGCAUGAAAUACUGCUCCAUCAUCUGUGCUCAGUGCCUGCACCCGGAAGCCCAGGGGGCUCCUGGCAUUACAGUAGAGCACAUUGCUGCCAUCCUCCUCAUCCACAGAUACCAUCUGGCACUCAACUGUUUGCAGGUUUGGAAUGGAUUCACCAAAGUGCCAGCUUUGUCCAUGAUCAUCACUGAAGAAGAACAGUCCGGGCUGGGAAAUGGCGAGAACCCAUGGCAAGUGCAGCAAGAAAUGACAGCCCUAAAAUAUUAAACAGGCUGUUUGGAUGUUCUUCACAUUGCAGAUGGAACUUAGUUUACAGUGUAUUGCUGUACAUGUCUGCUCAGAAAUAGUCCCACUGAGU